AGCUCUGUGGCGCAAUGGAUAGCGCAUUGGACUUCUAAUUCAAAGGUUGUGGGUUCGAGUCCCACCAGAGUUG
rnacentral:tRNA from 1 species